rnacentral:tRNA from 1 species
UAUAGUGUAGUUUAAGAUAAAAUGUAAACCUGUGGAGUUUAAGAUAUGUUAUAGUUAUUAUUC